CCUUCCUUUCAGACAACUUGCUCACUAUAGCGAAACAAAGUGCCACAGCCUACAGCCUCGCACUGCGCGCGGGGGUUUGUCGGGUCUGUGCGCGAGGCGCAAACUGAUUGGCCGGACUGUUUCUUCGAGCCUGAUAAAGCGUCAAUGGAGCGUAAAUCAAUCCUGCAAGCGGGCCUCUCUCUCUCUCUCUCUCUCUCUCUCUCUCUCUCUCUUUAAUAGAUUGCCCCUUUCUGAAUAAAUUGUCUUGUUUAUAUGCAAUAUGCAAAAUGAACAGUUCGUCCGUAUAUCUGUUCUGUGUAUCUAUGGCUGCUGUCAAGCUAGAAUUAUAUAAAACCAUUAAAUUAUGCUUCGUCUGGACAGUAUGCAUGGAAUGCCGAGCGGAGACAAAGGCUGACAAUAUAAGUGGCGCAAUUAUUUUUAUGCAUUUAUUUAUUUAGUUAUUCCUAACCUAAUCAAAAUACAUGCGCAUUUUAGUGCGAAGCGCACGGGACGCAUUGUCGUAGCAGAUCCACUCUUGCUGAAUUGUGGCAAGCAAUCACUUCAAUCAAUCUCAACAUCAGAGAGUCAGCCUUUAAAACACCAUUAGUAUAAGCGCCAAUAGUCGUACACUUAGAACGAGUCCACAGCAGAGAUAUUUUCUCUCCAGGACAAGAUAGAUAGUCAAAUUCACACCUAGGUGUGUUUAAUUAUUCACCCGCUUUCUGAAUCCACUUACAAGGUUUUCUGUGAGCUGCAGAGCCGCCUGACACUGUUUUAUUGGCAGAUUAACAGUCAUUUUUGUUAACGAGCGCCAUUAAAUCGGGCCCUGCGUGGUUAUGCCCCUUGUCUUUACAGCGCAAACUACUUCAACUACUUUUUUUGGGGGUCCGUUUAAUGCCAUAAUAAAAUCCUACAUCAGGGCGGCUGCUUUGGUUUUAUAGGGCUGAUAUAUGGCCUGUGGUGGUGCGGACCGUAAACGCGACUGAAGCUGUUGGAGCCUUCCUCCCGGUCGGGUAAAGGGCUCCUCUCACUCGGCGGUCAGGCUGCCAUGAGUAAACACAACUCGGACCUGAGCUCGGUGGAGGUACCGGGGACUGAGGCUCACAGCUUUCUCCUGUAACGGAAUAGUAGAUCAACUGACUGCUGCUGGCCUGUGCUGGAGCUACCGACGGUGUCCACUCUCGCUCUUUCAGUCAGGAGCGUUUGAGGGAUAAAAUCCGUCAUUGGGCUUUUAAUGAGGAGACUGAAGAGCAGCAGACUGGACUGGCAGUGAGUGCAGACAUUUGACUUCCUGCUGACCUUUAUCAAAGUCAGGAUUGACCAAUUUCCAGCUCAUCUGGACGGCAUUCCGAUGGAUACCAGCGACCCAGUAAGGAGCAGACAGAAAAGUAUGAACUUCAUUAGAGGUGGAUGUGUUAGAUGCGUAAACUGCUCAUUAAGCAUGUUUUGGGAAUUUUAGAGAUGGCUUGAAUGAGCUUUAGGGACAGGAACAGGAGUAGUAAUAGUAAGAGUGUUGUGUGUUAUGGCAUAGUGUCAGUUUAGUAAAGGAACGCCCUCAGCAUCAACCUGCAUGUGUCUGUUUAAAUCCUAAAGCAUUUUGUUUAUCAGUAUCACAACAGUGAACCUGCACUUCACACAGUGUUUCCGGCGUGUAGAAAACCGACUUUGUUUUCCAGUCAUAGAUGUUUGGGAUAUUUUUCAGUCAAAAUGGCCUCUCCACAGACCGCAGGCUGUGGGAAUUUUAAUUUUCGGAGGGCCUCCGCCCUGCAGGCCGGGCUGCCAACCAGACAGACAGCGCGUUAAUUGGAGACACUGGCGCAGAAAAAGCUUGAAGACAUUAUCUACAAACCACCUACAUUUUCUGCACGUUGCCUCAGUGCUGUGACACAAGUGACUUGGGCAAAUAAAUCCCCAUCCGCACGCACAUAUUCGCAGUUAGAAGUGCGCAAUAGGGAACGCAUGGGGUUAAAUCAAAAAUAGCCAUUAUGUAAUGACUUGUUUUCUUGUUGCACUUCACACUGGCCACAUAUUUCAGAGUGCACUUUCAAUAUCGUGAAGUAAAGAUAGGAGAUCAGUCAUUAUUGAGCAGAGGAAUAGGGACUGGGGGGGGGUAAUGCAUGACCAGAAACAGGUUUUUUGCUGCCAGUAAUGAGCACCAUGGUGAGCAUGCAGGUUCCAGCUUCGUCAGUUCACUCUGAGCAGCUGUUUUAUAUCUCGUCAGAAAAGUUGAUUUGAAAAUUAUAUACACCAAACUCUCAGUUGAUAUGAAACUGAAAAGUUCUUGUAUUCAAACUGUGACGGUGACCAGAUCAAUCGACUCAGGGCAUUUUACGUUUACAAGCUACCAAUAAAAGUAUUUACAGAACAAUAAAGUGCAUUUAUAGUAUCUCCUCUCCUUUUCUAGCAUAGGGUUUAAUAUUAAUUCCCCUAAACAAGGCAUUGGGCCGCCAUAAAAGCAGCGGGCUCAUUAAAAACAAGAGUGCAAUAAACUUAAGAAACGCAAGUGAACUCAUCAUGGAGAAGAGCUUAAAUUUCAGCACUGCGCACUCUUUUUCUUUUUCCCCCCAACCGAUUUUAAAUAACCGAGGCAGUCAGUGUCAAAGAGGCUGAGCCGAGGCCGCGAUCACCUCUGCUCAUUUGAAAUACUGACAUGUGAAUUCCAGGCGGUAAUUUACUUUUCCUGGAGCCAAAGCCUUCAUUUCCACCAAUGGGAUCCGGAUUUAGAAGGCAUAAAUUUAGACCGUAUUUCUAAUUACACUUUACGCACAUUCACGGGGUAUUUUUGUUUUGAAAGUGAAAUAUUGUCAGAGUCUGCAAGGAGAAUUCAUCACAUCAAUUGAAUAAUCUGAUUUUAGGUCUUUUGAUAUUGUCUGUUAAACCUAUUUUGUUGAGAAAGGCAGAGAUCACCUUCAUAAAAAGGUAAAAUUAACCAAAUGCUCCCUAAAUAUUCCAGCGAGCCAGUGGACAGAUUUUAUUGUAUCAAAUAAUCUCAGAAACUACAAAUUUCCUUAUACGUAUUUCUUUGUAAGAGUCAGAAAAUGGGUCAAAGGAUGUGAGGAAAACUUUUAACACCCAAUGAACACGCAGUAAAGUAGGUCCAGGGACUUUAAUUGCUGUUAAGUACUGAAGGUUACUGACUCAUUUCAGUUUUUAACCUUAAACGCUGUAGGGAAUGUGUGUAUAGGACAUACAGCAUAUAGUGUGUGUGUGUGUGGGGGGGGGGGUUCAACAUUACCAGUUUCAACAUUUAAUUGAAACUGGUGAUAUUUGCUUGCUGUGUGUAUUAUUUAUUCGAGAUCAUCCUUUUUUGGCCAUGUGGGGUUUUAUUUACUUCGAUUAUUGGAGUGCGAAAAGACUGCGGUCCCGUUAUUUAAUAAUACAAUGAUUAGGCUGAUUGUAUUAUAGAGGAUGUAAUUGAAAAGAAAUACAGAUGCGUCUGUUUACAAUUUGUAAACAUAGUUUCGAUACAGUUUUUUUUGUUUGUUUGUUAUAUUAUAAUACUUAAGUGUUUCAGUGCUGCAAACACACACUAUAGGGCAGCAGACAAGAGGGCUCCAAACUGCAUCAAAUUAUAUUUUACAUAAGCAUAUUUACCACAAUAUCACGGAGGUCGGGUCAGUAAAACAGAUGUCUUUCUCAGUUUGCCCAUUAAAUAGGCUAUAAAUACAAUAAAGAAAAAAAUUUUGUUUUAAUAGUUUGCAGAUUAUUUCAAUAAAUAGCAGCAACUAAACAAAUAAAUAAAUACAUUCUAAAAUGUUGAAUCUAAAAUAUACAUAUUAUAUGUGUUAAGCUAAACAUUUAACUAUGAAUCGGCAUGUUCAUGUACAUACAGUUUAUUGAAAUAUUCAUUAUAAAGCUAUAUUGAUCUUUUACAAUUUGCAUUGCAUAUAGAGUGUCAGAUAUCAGCUAAGAUGCUAACUCUGAUGACUGAUUAAUGAAUGGGGUAAACAUUGUGUGGUUUAACACAUUAUUCCCAGGUCUUCCAAUGAAAUAUUCUUCCCUGUGUAACAUGUCCCCACUCAUACCACCACAAACAUUAACUGUUAUUUAAUAAUUAAAAAAAAAAAAAAAAAGAACUUGAAUCAUGAUACACAUUCAACACUUUACAAUAUAAUGUGGAACGACUGAUUUAGGCUUUCUGUUUUGAUGAAAAAGCGUAAGUAGGUACCUAACAAUAAAUGGCCAUUGAGCAUGAUAACCUCUUUGAUUAAUACAAGCUAUAUAUUUUAAUAACAGCCCAUGCUUGGGCCUCGUGGAUCACGUACAGUAUCAUAUUUCUCAGCUGAAAAGCUUGAGGAGGCUCCAGGCAUCUCCCUGAGCCUCUUUAGAGCUCCGAUGGUAAAGUUGCUUUUGUAAAUGAAGUCAGUAGAGAGUUAUUAACUGGCUAUCCACCACAGUAGAAAUGCAUCAUGAUGUGGGACUCAGAAGCUGCAAGAAAUGUCCUGAGACACAUACUGGGAGAGAAAAGUCCAGCUGCUGGACUGUGUGUGUGUGUGUGUGCAUUAAUUCCACCUCCUCCUCAAACUUUCUCAAAUGUUUUGCUCCAUCUAGCUGCAAUUAAGAUAAAACAAUCAGAUGUAUUAAAAAGUCUGUAAGGCUUGUAUUUUGAAUGAUGUUAUCAGUAUGCAAGAAAGUAUGAGGAUGAAGAGAAUACACAGACCUGUGUAACGUGUGACAGUUAUGUUAGGUCCCAGUCUAUAAACCCAGCAAACACAUAUGCAAAAAGUCCACGUGUCAAUGUGUGUUUUAGAGGCUUAAUCCUACUAUCCUCAGCUACUUGAGUAUCUGUUUAUGUCUCAGAUAAUGCAGAUUUUUGCAGAAUGUGCUAGAGACUCCCUUGAUUGUGUGCAUGCAGUGUGUGAGUGUGUUUGUUGGAGAGAGAGUUUAACUCUUAAAAGCAAACAAACACUUUUGGAAUCUACAUAAUAAUUCAUUUGUGACUGCUUUACAGCCAAAUGCCACUAAAAUAUGCAAGUGUUUGGUAGAUUAAUGAAAAGUUCAUUUUGCACCCUGAACUAGAUAAAACAAAUGACACAAUGUAACAAUAAAGGAAAAAAUAUAAAACAAAUUAACUUUAUUGUUUUGCUGAUAUGAACAAGGAGCAAUAGUGGAGCUUAUUACUGGUUACUGACUGAAGGCUAGUAAUUUCAGUUGUCUUUUAUUUUGCAUCAGAACAGAAAGCUGAGCAGCAGUUCCACUGAAUGUUUCAUAUAAACGUAUAGGCUAACAUACAGUGUACUAAUGGGUAAUGGUUAACAUUAGUCACAACGUACAGAUGCCCUUAGGAGACAUUUCCACCAAUAAGCUCCCUUUAAUGUUAUCACUAUUCUGUACCAAAUCAAUCUGACUUGUAAAAUAAUAAUUGUUUUUGUGGUUCAAUGUGUUUCCUUUCAUUAAAAAUACUUUGUUGGAUGUGUGUCUUCACAGACAUUUGUUGACAUGAAACACUGUAUUAAAUUUGCUGAAAUCAAUAAAUAAAGUAGGAAACAAUGAG